UACGGAGGGUGCAAGCGUUAUCCGGAUUCACUGGGUUUAAAGGGUGCGUAGGAGGGCAGGUAAGUCAGUGGUGAAAUCUUCGAGCCUAACUCGGAAACUGCCGUUGAUACUAUCUGUCUUGAAUACCGUGGAGAUGAGCGGAAUAUGUCAUGUAGCGGUGAAAUGCUUAGAUAUGACAUAGAACACCAAUUGCGAAGGCAGCUCGUUACACGAAUAUUGACUCUGAGGCACGAAAGCGUGGGGAUCAAACAGG
rnacentral:rRNA from 1 species